rnacentral:rRNA from 1 species
CGUCGACCGGCGCACGGGUGAGUAACGCGUAUCCAACUUCCCAUUACUGUGGGAUAACCUGCCGAAAGGCAGACUAAUACCGCAUAGUCUUCAUGACGGCAUCAGAUUUGAAGUAAAGAUUUAUCGGUAAUGGAUGGGGAUGCGUCUGAUUAGCUUGUUGGCGGGGUAACGGCCCACCAAGGCGACGAUCAGUAGGGGUUCUGAGAGGAAGGUCCCCACAUUGGAACUGAGACACGGUCCAAACUCCUACGGGAGGCAGCAGAG